AGCGGCGGACGGGUGAGUAACGCGUGGGUAACCUGCCCUAUACACACGGAUAACAUACCGAAAGGUAUGCUAAUACGAGAUAAUAUAAGAGAUUCACAUGGGUUUCUUAUCAAAGCUGAGGCGGUAUAGGAUGGACCCGCGUCUGAUUAGCUAGUUGGUAAGGUAACGGCUUACCCAGGCGACGAUCAGUAGCCGACCUGAGAAGGUGAUCGGCCACAUUGGAACUGAGACACGGUCCAAACUCCCACGGGAGGCAGCAGUGGGGAAUAUUGCACAAUGGGCGAAAGCCUGAUGCAGCAACGCCGCGUGAGUGAUGAAGGCCUUCGGGUCGUAAAACUCUGUCCUCAAGGAAGAUAAUGACGGUACUUGAGGAGGAAGCCCCGGCUAACUACGUGCCAGCAGCCGCGGUAAUACGUAGGGGGCUAGCGUUAUCCGGAUUUACUGGGCGUAAAGGGUGCGUAGGUGGUCUCUUAAGUCAGGAGUGAAAGGCUACGGCUUAACCGUAGUAAGCUCUUGAAACUGGGAGACUUGAGUGCAGGAGAGGAAAGUGGAAUUCCUAGUGUAGCGGUGAAAUGCGUAGAUAUUAGGAGGAACACCAGUAGCGAAGGCGGCUUUCUGGACUGUAACUGACACUGAGGCACGAAAGCGUGGGGAGCAAACAGGAUUAGAUACCCUGGUAGUCCACGCCGUAAACGAUGAGUACUAGGUGU
rnacentral:rRNA from 1 species